GGUUGCCAUUUCCUUCUCCAGGGGAUCUUCCUGACCCAGGGAUCGAACCCGGGUCUCCUGCAUUGUAGGCAGAUGCUUUACCAUCUGAGCCACCAGGGAAGUAAAAGGCAAGGAACAAAUGUAAAAGCAAUAGGUUAUUUUUUAGGGCAAAUAUGGUCUCUCUCUGUGUUGGAUGUUUGGACUUGCCUUAAUUACCAGUUUGGAUUUUGGCAGGUUAAGAGGUCAAGUGGCACAGCAGAUCAUCAGUAUACCUCCAGAUUCCAAAUCUGUGUUCUGGCUCAGCGUAGACACGAGGCUCCUAGAGCCGACAGGGACCUUGGUGUGAAGCAUCUCCUGAGCUACUUCCAGCAUACUCAGCAUCUCUGGAAUCUGACUAUUCCACAUGCAAGCAGUAUGGUGUGAUGCUUGUCUUGGUUGGCUUGCUUUGCUGAGUAUGGUAAUUUCUGGGUCCACUUCAUGCUUCUCUGGCCCUGCCUCAGCUCCUAGAAGAACUGGGCACAUAGUGGGUGGCCACCAGGUCUUCGCUGGAUGCCUGUGGGGAACCGGUCUUGAAUCCCAGGGACGGGGGAGCCUGGUGGGCUGCCAUCUGUGGGGUCGCACAGAGUU